CCAGUUGCUAUGGUGCCCUCAGGCAGGGACAGCUGGGGCUGUUCCUAGUCCCACGUACAGUCCCUGUCUUUGCACAGCCUCCUCUGCUCCACCUCCACUGGCACAUCUCUAUUCUGUCACAUCACUUUUAUUGCAAGGAUCAGGGAGGUCCAGCCUUGAGGUUCCAACGCUGAGGCCACCUUGUCACACUAGCAUGGAGGACCCCAUUCCAUUCCUGCUAUGAAGCCCCUCUAAGAGGGGCUACACAACUGUGAUUCCAUGCCACAAGGGUGUCUGAAAGUGCUGGUGACAUUGGUAAGGAGCAGCCACAUGUUCUGCUGCAUCUGGAUGAACAGAGAAUACACAGCCUCUUUACUGGACAGUCAUG
rnacentral:lncRNA from 1 species